rnacentral:rRNA from 1 species
UACGUAGGGUGCAAGCGUUACCCGGAAUCACUGGGUUUAAAGGGUGCGUAGGCGGACUGGUAAGUCAGAGGUUAAAGAUUCCCGCUUAACGGGAAAGCGGCCUUUGAUACUGUCAGUCUUGAGAGCGGUUGAGGUGCGCGGAAUAAAUGGUGUAGCGGUGAAAUGCGUAGAUAUCACUUAGAACACCGAUUGCGAAGGCAGCGCGCUAAGCCGUUUCUGACGCUCAGGCACGAAAGCGUGGGGAGCAAACAGG